rnacentral:rRNA from 1 species
UACGAAAGGAGCAAGUGUUAUUCAGAUUCACUGGGCGUAAAGGGCACGUAGGUGGUUUGUUUAUGUGUAUUAUUAAAUUAUAAAGCAUAACUUUAUAAUGUAGUAUAAACAGCAAAACUAGAGUUAGGUAAAGAGUAGUAGAAUUUCUAAUGUAAAGGUGAAAUUUGAUAAAAUUAGAGAGAAUACCAAUGGCGUAAGUAACUACUUGGACCUUAGCUGACACUGAGGUGCGAAGGUAUGGGGAGCAAAUAGG